AAUUUAACUUUAUUUGGUGCACAUUUGCAGAAAUAAGCUUGCAUGCACAUUAUCAUCUCGUGUUUAUUCAUUACCCUUUACAAAAAGAUAGGCAUACUUUGAUAUUCCAAUAUUUAAAAAUAAACCAUGCACUCAAAAAUAUGUUUCUCAAAGGACGAUAUAGCAUCAUUCUGUCCUGAGCUAAACCACGCCCUCGUUACGAUGGUUGCGCUUACGUAACGUCAACGUCUCAGGCGGGAGAAACUGGAAGCAUUGUACUUCGGUGGGGAAAGAGGCAAGCCGUGGAAGAGCAAUCUUAAUAGUAAGUGUGCAAAGAUUGUAGUUCUUUGUUUAAGACACUUCAUCUAAAUUUGUCCUCCUAAAUGUUCAUCAUAUACGGCUUGUGUAACUGAUGACAACCGAUUAAAUUCUUAUUUUAUCUAGUAAUUUGUUAGCUCCAAGUUUAAUGAUAAUUUGAGAAAUUAUAUAUGGUACGACAGCAAUAAAAUAAUAAAAACAUUUAGUGUGGAUGUUCCCAAUGUUUAGAUGCAAACAAAACAAUAUUAUUUAUAAAUGGAUUAUAUAUAUCAUCCAGGGAAAACAGUGUAAAAUGCGCUUAUUUUCGAGAUAGAACGCUUCCAUGCAGAAGUUGGGUUUCAUAAGAAACGCAUGCGUGAGUCAACUCCUCAUCCAAACUCCAAUCCAGACGGUGGCGGUAAUGUUCUAAAAGCUGGUUUCCAACCGCUAUGAAGAUCACAAGAAGAAAAAGAAGUUUGGCGUUUCAAAACAGUGGAUUCCGGUCAGAAAGACACACAUGAGGAAGCUCGACUCAGCUUGGCUUGCAGACAGAUGAGGACGGUGAUUGCCUGUCAUACAUCUAAAGAAAGAACAGGGGCAUUAAAGACACAACUAUAGUGAACGUGAUGAAGAAAAAUUUUUUGGAACAAAGAGGCUGGAGAAAAAACUGAUAUGAAGAUUUAAGAAAUUGAUGCAGCACCGCAAGUACCGUCACCACCAAUGACUAUGGCAGGAUCCUUAAGAACACCAUCAAGAUGCACAGAUGCUGUACAUUCCAGUACACCUAUGAACAUUUACAGUCCUUGUUCAAGUGCAGUUGGAGAUCAAGACAACUUAUUGCAACUCGUCAUGUCUUUCACGACUGAAAAAAAGUUUUAAAAUCAUGCAACGUCAUAAAACAGCAACUGUGCCUGAUUCUCACAAAUCAGCAAAACCAAAACAGACGUGAUGAAAUUCCAGAUGUAAACACAUUUGACCUUUCUUUGUCCAAUUUGAUUUGGAAAAACUUGAAAAUCAACUAAACGAGCAGCCCAAACAAAUGAAGAAACUGGUAGCCUACUUUGGAAUCAUUGGUGUUUUCCACUAAGCAGUUUGGUGUGUCCCGGGAAAGCUUUUGGCUCACUUUUUGGCUGAACAAAUUAACUGGAGCAGAGCAAACCAAAAUGUGGCCUUUCAUGCACUCUCCCUUAGGACUGUCUAGUCAAUGUAGUGAGGAGAAAUGUCCAUACCACGCCACUGAUAAAGAAGUGGAAAAAUGCAUUACAAGGUGGCUACAACGUGCUCCUGACAGGGCUGGAGGAAGGAGGGAAGAAGAGAAAGCUAAUGUGUCAAAUGUCUUCAUCAAUAAUUUAUUUUUUAAACAACAUUUUAAGUGUAUUAAGAUGU